UCUCCAUCUAUCGAUGGUUUCAUGUACAUAGGAAAGACAGGCACUCAAUAUUGUUGAUUGGGGCAAAGAAUUAUCGCCAUAGAAAUUAUAUAGUUAGAUCCGUCACAAGAAGCAUGCAUCAUCUUUUUUUGUGGGAUUUUGGAUGAAUAGCAAGCAUCACAAGGUGGGUGUCGUCAUUCAUUUGCUAAACUAGCACUACUCCCUUUGAUAAGCCCUCAACUAUAUACUGUAUCAGGUUGAAGUGGGAAGUUAGAUCCCAGGUAGAUCCAGGGCAGAUGGGGGGCAAGAAGGCUAUAAGAAAGAAACCGACCUUCCAGUCGACGGCGUGGAAGAAGCCGAGGAAGGAGUCGAGGGCGGGGCGGAAUCCGGAGCGGAGGUCGGAGGAGACGCGCCCAAAGAGCUCCGCCACCACGUCGGCGUGCUCGUUCAGCGCCUCCCGCACCUCA